rnacentral:rRNA from 1 species
UACGUAGGGUGCAAGCGUUGUCCGGAAUUAUUGGGCGUAAAGGGCGCGUAGGCGGUGCGGUAAGUCACCUGUGAAACCUCUGGGCUUAACUCAGAGCCUGCAGGCGAAACUACCGUGCUGGAGUGUGGGAGAGGUGCGUGGAAUUCCCGGUGUAGCGGUGAAAUGCGUAGAUAUCUGGAGGAACACCGGUGGCGAAGGCGGCAUCCUGGACCGACACUGACGCUGAGGAGCGAAAGCCAGGGGAGCAAAGCGGG